CUAUAGCUUGACACUGAACAUUGAGCCUUGAUGUGUAGGAUAGGUGGGAGGCUUAGAAGUGUGGACGCCAGUCUGCAUGGAGCCGACCUUGAAAUACCACCCUUUAAUGUUUGAUGUUCUAACGUUGGCCCGUAAUCCGGGUUGCGGACAGUGUCUGGUGGGUAGUUUGACUGGGGCGGUCUCCUCCUAAAGAGUAACGGAGGAGCACGAAGGUUGGCUAAUCCUGGUCGGACAUCAGGAGGUUAGUGCAAUGGC
rnacentral:rRNA from 1 species